CGCACCUCGGUAUAUAUUCUCAUUGGGUCCGCUGGGCACACUAAACAAAGGCUGCAAGUGCCCUACUCGACGGCAAAAUUGUAAAUAGUGAUUUUUUAGAGAUCAGAUCGCCAAUAGGGACGUCACUACAAAGUGACUGGCUACCAGCCCUUCAUGAUGUCAAUAACUCAAGUGUUACGCAUCCGUACGACACGAGCACUUCGCUUUCCUCCGCGUCCAAGUCCUUGUUGCUGUAGAUCACCAGGUCAGCCCGGGAACUCUCGCCAGUAGGUCUCGGGGAUUCCAGAUCUUCUCUUGGCCUGGCACGGCUCGAUGCGGUUGGAGUUGUUACCCCCGAGGGGACCGUUGUUUUGCGCGUCCUAUUGGCAAACUCGUGCGAUUCCAUGUCCCGAAGGUUCUCCACUGUGGGUGCUGCGCCACUCAACUUCGAAAUGCUGAAUGCCAUCCAUGAUUCUACGAAUUCCGUCGCGUCUUCGAUAUCGCAACGGGUACAGAUUUCAAUGCAUUUGUCGACGACCUCUGCCGAAGGAUCGAUCCCCAGCUCGCCGAACUGUUCGCGCAAAGUAUCAAUCGAAACCAUUUUUCACGAGAAUGUAAACUAGAAUCUACUUGUCCGUACCAGAAUACAUUGAUUUUACGGUUCCAACAAAAUAUACGAUUAACAUUAGCACAAAA